UACGUAGGGUGCGAGCGUUGUCCGGAAUUAUUGGGCGUAAAGAGCUCGUAGGCGGUCUGUCGCGUCGAAAUGUGAAAACCCGGGGCUCAACUCCGGGCUUGCAUUCGAUACGGGCAGGCUAGAGUUCGGUAGGGGAGUCUGGAAUUCCUGGUGUAGCGGUGGAAUGCGCAGAUAUCAGGAGGAACACCGGUGGCGAAGGCGGAUCUCUGGGCCGAUACUGACGCUGAGGCGCGAAAGCGUGGGGAGCAAACAGG
rnacentral:rRNA from 1 species